AGCUUGGAUAGGCUAUUUUGGCCAAUAAGCAUCACUCCAGGGGUUGAAAUGAGGAUUUCAUCUAGGGUUACAGAAGCUGAAAUUCCGGGAGAAGAUACAAAACUGAGUGCUGAAAGGAAAAUGAAGGGGGUGCAUGGAAGAAAACUGGCCUGCUUUCGAGGACAUCAUCAGAGCCCAGAGUUCAACAGAUCAUGAACACUUCGAGACAAAUGAAGACAGGUGCAAUCUCCUUGAAGAAAUAAAAUCUAAGUACCAACAUCC